GACCCAACAGCUAGCCCCCUAACCAAAACCAACUAAUCAUUAUUUAUAACCCCAAACACACAAAAUCUUAAUAAAACAAACCAUUUUUCCCCCUUAGUAUGGGCGACAGAAAAGGGACUGUGGCGCGAUAGAGAAAGUACCGCAAGGGAACGCUGAAAGAGAAAUGAAACAACCCAGCAAAGUCUAAAAAAGCAGAGAUUAAAACUCGUACCUUUUGCAUCAUGAUUUAGCUAGUAAGGCCCAAGCAAAGAGAACUUUAGUUUGACCCCCCGAAACCAAGUGAGCUACUCCAAGACAGCCUAUCAAUAGGGCACACCCGUCUCUGUGGCAAAAGAGUGGGAAGAGCUUUGAGUAGAGGUGACAAACCUACCGAACUUGGUUAUAGCUGGUUGCCUGAGAACUGGAUAGAAGUUCAGCCUCCUGGAUUCUCCCCUCAUUUUCGUUAUGCCCUCACUGACGCUCCGAGAAGCCACGAGAGUUAGUCAAAGGGGGUACAGCCCCUUUGAAACAAGACACAACUUUACCAGGAGGGUAAAGAUCACAAUAAGAAAGGUUAAAUGUUCUGGUGGGCCUAAAAGCAGCCAUCCCCAUAGAAAGCGUUAAAGCUCAUACAUUUGUUUUUCCCCCCCAUUCCGAUAAUUUUAUCUUAGCCCCCUAAUUUUACCAGGCCCUCCCAUGCAAACAUGGGAGCGAAUAUGCUAAUAUGAGUAAUAAGAGAGCCCCCCCUCUCUCCUUGCACACGUGUAAAUCGGAACGGACUCCCCACCGAACAUUAACGGUCCCAGACAAAGAGGGUACUGAAUUACAAAUUAAAUAACCAGAAAAACAUCCAACACCUGCCCGUUAACCCCACACUGGUGUGCCAUUUAGGAAAGACUAAAAGAAAAAGAAGGAACUCGGCAAACACAUAAAGCCUCGCCUGUUUACCAAAAACAUCGCCUCUUGCUAACUAAAAAUAAGAGGUCCCGCCUGCCCUGUGACUAUAAGUUUAACGGCCGCGGUAUUUUGACCGUGCGAAGGUAGCGCAAUCACUUGUCUUUUAAAUGAAGACCUGUAUGAAUGGCAUAACGAGGGCUUAACUGUCUCCUUUUUCAAGUCAAUGAAAUUGAUCUCCCCGUGCAGAAGCGGGGAUAACCCCAUAAGACGAGAAGACCCUAUGGAGCUUUAGACACCAAAAUAGAUCAUGUUAAACACCCCUAAACAAAGGAUAAAACCAGAUGAACCCUAUUUUUAUGUCUUUGGUUGGGGCGACCGCGGGGAAACAAAAAACCCCCACGUGGAAUGGGAGCACCCCUCCUACAACUAAGAGCCCCCGCUCUAGUGAACAGAAAUUCUGACCAGCAAGAUCCGGCAAUGCCGAUCAACGGACCGAGUUACCCUAGGGAUAACAGCGCAAUCCCCUUUUAGAGCCAUAUCGACAAGGGGGUUUACGACCUCGAUGUUGGAUCAGGACAUCCUAAUGGUGCAGCCGCUAUUAAGGGUUCGUUUGUUCAACGAUUAAAGUCCUACGUGAUCUGAGUUCAGACCGGAGUAAUCCAGGUCAGUUUCUAUCUAUGAUAUGAUCUUUUCUAGUACGAAAGGACCGAAAAGAAGAGGCCCAUGCUUAAAGUAUGCCUCACCCCCACCUAGUGAAAUCAACUAAAGUAGGCAAAAGGGCAUGCCCUUAUGUCUGAGAGUACGACAU
rnacentral:rRNA from 1 species